GGUAGGCAUAACACAUGCAAGUCGCGCGGUAACAGUUCGGCUGACGAGCGGCGAACGGCUGAGUAACACGUUGGUACCUACCUUGAAGUGAGGGAUAACUGCGAGAAAUCGUAGCUAAUACCGCAUGUGCCUGCAAAGGUAAAGCUUCGGCGCUUCAAGAGGGACCUGCGGCGCAUCAGUUUGUUGGUGAGGUAAUGGCUCACCAAGACUAUGACGCGUACCUGGUGUGAGAGCACGACCAGGCAGAAUGGGACUGAGACACGGCCCAUACUCCUACGGGAGGCAGCAGUGAGGAAUCUUCCACAAUGGGCGAAAGCCUGAUGGAGCCAUACCGCGUGUAGGAUGACACCUUUCGGGGCGUAAACUACUUUUCUGGGGGAAGAAGUUCUGACGGUACCCCAGGAAUAAGCAUCGGCUAACUACGUGCCAGCAGCCGCGGUAAUACGUAGGAUGCGAGCGUUAUCCGGAAUCACUGGGCGUAAAGCGAUCGAAGGCUGAAAUAUAAGUUGGGUGUUAAAUACCUCGGCUCAACCAAGGUGCUGUACUCAAAACUAUAUUACUAGAGGAAGGCAGAGGCAGGUGGAAUU
rnacentral:rRNA from 1 species